ensembl:ncRNA B0024.17 ncRNA
GAUGGGCGGUACCACCCAGAAGAACAGCCGGUGGUUGAAGGAGGGCAUCAUGUUUUUUGUCUGCCGGAUGGUUUUGGUAGAAAUAAAAAAAUGAAGGAAGUAUCGAAUGCGAUUAAGGAAGUUACUUACUGGAAAUAACGAAAA